rnacentral:antisense_RNA from 1 species
GAAAAUAUAUGGGCUGAAUGUCUUUCUAUUUGCUCUUUAAAGACCUUGCACAAAUAAUGAUGAUGACUGGGAUUUUUUUUUCAUGGAAAAAAAACCCAGAAAUGGUGAGGGUACCUGGAGAGGCCAAGGUGAAGGCAUUACUUCUUAAUUUAUUGAUACUGAGUUGCAUCCACCCCAGGGAGCUGGUGCUGCCUAUCCUCCGAGGACCAAAACAGCUGGAGGCUAAAGCAGCUAAUAGCAGAGGCGCCUGUGGCUACAGAGGCUGUUUGAACCCUGGGCUCUGGCAGUAAGCACUGCACUGAUCUGGAAGGAAAAGACAUGGGGCAGGACUGAGACUCUGCUGGGAAAGCAUCAAUGAUUUAGUUAAGAAGAACUAAAACAGCGAAUUCCAUAAUGGGAGGUUUUGCCUAUGACUUUCUUCUAGGGUGUAAGUUGGUUCCGCAUCAUAAUGUAAUUAUAUAUUUUUCACUUUUUUAAUUGACAGAUAACAUUUUAUGUUUUUAUCAUGUACAACAUGAUGUUUUGAAGUACAUAUACAAAAUGGAAAGGUUAAAUCUAGCUCAUCAACAAAUGAACUCACACAGUUAUCACUUU